CCUUCGAUAGCUCAGUUGGUAGAGCGGUGGACUGUAGAGAGUGAACACACGCACACGAUAGAGAGAAAUCCAUAGGUCGCUGGUUCAAAUCCGGCUCGAAGGA
rnacentral:tRNA from 1 species